GUUGGAUUGGGGGAGGCUAGAGAGGCUUGCUUGUUGUUGUGUUUUCUGCGUGAGAGAGCAGAGAGAACUGAGAGAUCACAUGGAUCCAGUGUACAGAUGAGCUUUUGGUGUGGGGGUGGUGGUGGUGGUUGAGGUAGCAGGGAGAGGAUGGUCACUAGAUGGAAGAGUGCAGGGAAUGUUGCUUGCUACUGCUACUGCAUGUGCUAUUGUGUUAUUUUGUAAUAUUUCUGAACUGUUAGCGAUAUUGCCGCAGUGAGAUGAGCUUAUUUUGUAAUAUAUGGUCUUUUCCAGUGCAUUGCAAAACUAACUAAUAGUUUGUGAUCUGACACCCUGGUAACCUCAUGAUUGGGUGGUGCAUGCAGGGCACACCUCCGAGCUAGCCGAUGCUUAGUAUACCAGUGUUCUGCUGCAUCCGGUGCGACCUCAAAGAAUACCUUCGUCUAGCUGGCCGUUGAGCACCUUAGGGACGACGAGGUGCAGUGCCUGGGGUGUAAGCAGUUCAACUACACGAUGAAGUGAGUAAAGGGGUUAAGACGGUUGCGUUGUGCGUGCGCUGCUUGCUUGCUGUCAACUUGUUGGACAACUGUACACGUAUGUGUUUUUUCAAGCCCACUGAUUUCAGCCUCUCCGUCUCCUUCAAGCCGAUGAGAAGUUCAGGGAUAUUCCUGGGAGUGCCUAUUAUGUGGCUCCGGAGGUGCUGAAGCGGAUAUAUGGAGCCGAUAAUUGCAUAUGGAGUGCUGGAGUUAUACUCUACAUUCUGCUGUCUGGCAUUCCUCCUUUUUGGGCAGCAGGGCAGAUCCUCCUGUGAAGCAUAAAUUUCAUUGUAUCCAAGGAGAUAUCAAAUGCUGAAAACAUGGGACUCAAAAUGUAUAGAGAGUCGGAGACACUGCUAAAUUGUUAUUUAUGGGUGUCUACCAAAUUCACUAUCAACCACUGUUGUAGGACCGGCG